UACGAAGGGGGCUAGCGUUGUUCGGAAUUACUGGGCGUAAAGCGUGCGCAGGCGGCUUCUCAAGUCAGGGGUGAAAGCCCAGAGCUCAACUCUGGAAUUGCCUUUGAGACUGAGUGGCUUGAGUACGAGAGAGGUGAGUGGAAUUCCCAGUGUAGAGGUGAAAUUCGUAGAUAUUCGCAAGAACACCAGUGGCGAAGGCGGCUCACUGGCCCGAUACUGACGCUGAGGCACGAAAGCGUGGGGAGCAAACAGG
rnacentral:rRNA from 1 species